UUUCCAUUCUUGGCAUGCAUGCUGUUCCUUUGUACUCGUGUGUAUGUGUUAUGGACGUAGAACAAGUCCAGUGCCGUGGCUUCGGUGGCAGAAUGUUCCCUGUCUUCUGGUUCUAUCCUCAGUAGCUGGGGCAUUC
ensembl:snoRNA